rnacentral:rRNA from 1 species
CCUACGGGUGGCAGCAGUGGGGAAUAUUGGGCAAUGGGCGCAAGCCUGACCCAGCAACGCCGCGUGAAGGAAGAAGGCUUUCGGGUUGUAAACUUCUUUUAAGGGGGAAGAGCAGAAGACGGUACCCCUUGAAUAAGCCACGGCUAACUACGUGCCAGCAGCCGCGGUAAUACGUAGGUGGCAAGCGUUGUCCGGAUUUACUGGGUGUAAAGGGCGUGCAGCCGGAGAGACAAGUCAGAUGAGAAAUCCACGGGCUCAACCCCAUCCAGCCGUUGAAACUGGGGAUCUAGAGUGUGCGAGAGGUAUGCGGAAUGCGUGGUGUAGCGGUGAAAUGCAUAGAUAUCACGCAGAACCCCGAUUGCGAAGGCAGCAUACCGGUGCACAACUGACGCUCAGGCACGAAAGCGUGGGUAUCGAACAGGAUUAGAUACCCUUGUAGUC